GAUGAACGCUAGCUACAGGCUUAACACAUGCAAGUCGAGGGGAAACGACAUCGAAAGCUUGCUUUUGAUGGGCGUCGACCGGCGCACGGGUGAGUAACGCGUAUCCAACCUGCCCACCACUUGGGGAUAACCUUGCGAAAGUAAGACUAAUACCCAAUGAUAUCUCUAGAAGACAUCUGAAAGAGAUUAAAGAUUUAUCGGUGAUGGAUGGGGAUGCGUCUGAUUAGCUUGUUGGCGGGGUAACGGCCCACCAAGGCGACGAUCAGUAGGGGUUCUGAGAGGAAGGUCCCCCACAUUGGAACUGAGACACGGUCCAAACUCCUACGGGAGGCAGCAGUGAGGAAUAUUGGUCAAUGGACGAGAGUCUGAACCAGCCAAGUAGCGUGCAGGAAGACGGCCCUAUGGGUUGUAAACUGCAUUUAUAAGGGAAUAAAGUUAGUCUCGUGAGACUUUUUGCAUGUACCUUAUGAAUAAGGACCGGCUAAUUCCGUGCCAGCAGCCGCGGUAAUACGGAAGGUCCGGGCGUUAUCCGGAUUUAUUGGGUUUAAAGGGAGCGUAGGCCGGAGAUUAAGCGUGUUGUGAAAUGUAGACGCUCAACGUCUGCACUGCAGCGCGAACUGGUUUCCUUGAGUACGCACAAAGUGGGCGGAAUUCGUGGUGUAGCGGUGAAAUGCUUAGAUAUCACGAAGAACUCCGAUUGCGAAGGCAGCUCACUGGAGCGCAACUGACGCUGAAGCUCGAAAGUGCGGGUAUCGAACAGGAUUAGAUACCCUGGUAGUCCGCACGGUAA
rnacentral:rRNA from 1 species